rnacentral:rRNA from 1 species
UGGAGUCUGCAACUCGACUCCAUGAAGUCGGAAUCGCUAGUAAUCGUGGAUCAGAAUGCCACGGUGAAUACGUUCCCGGGCCUUGUACACACCGCCCGUCACACCAUGGGAGUGGACUGCACCAGAAGUGGUUAGCCUAACCUUCGGGAGGGCGAUCACCACGGUGUGGUUCAUGACUGGGGUGAAGUCGUAACAAGGUAGCCCUAGGGGAACCUGGGGCUGGAUCACCUCCUUAUCGAC